CUUGGUCAGGAAGCAGAUAGCAACAAUGACAAUAAUCGUCAACCUGUGUCUCGCCUUCAUCAUAGGUUACAUCGCACUUUGCUGUUUUUCAUUACUUAUCGUCUACGUUUUUCACGAUUGGAUAUGAGAAUGGCAGGAGCGUCCGGUACGAAGAGAACUACUGUCAUUCUAGUUUUCCCUUUUUACGAAUAAUUGUACUGAAGAAAAACUCGGAGAAUGAAAAGAUCUGAUAACUGCGGCAUCCUAAUGUACCAUCAAGAA